rnacentral:sRNA from 1 species
UUUUUGAGACAGAGUCUCGUUCUGUCGCCCAGGCUGGAGUGCAGUGGUGCGUUCUUGGCUUCCUGCAACCUCCCCCUCCCGGGUUCAAGCAAUUCUCCUGCCUCAACCUCCUGAGUAGCUGAGAUUACAGACAUGUGUCACCACGCCCAGCUAGUUUUUGUAUUUUUAGUAGAGACGGAGUUUCACCAUAUUGGCCAGGCUGGUCUCAAACUCCUGGCCUCAAGUGAUCUGCAUACCUUGGCCUCCCAAAGUGUUAGGAUUACAGGCGUGAGCCACGGUGCCUGGCCAUAUUUUUAAAAAUAUUAAUAAAGCCUGCAUUUCAUUACCUUUCCACUUGGUGAUUCCACACACAUAUAGGAAAUCCAAAGUGUGAUAUUCAUUCACUGCUUCUGUGAAUAAAACAACUACUUGAUGAGAAAAAAAUGAC